AUUGGAGGGCAAGUCUGGUGCCAGCAGCCGCGGUAAUUCCAGCUCCAAUAGCGUAUAUUAAAGUUGUUGCAGUUAAGAAGCUCGUAGUUGAAUUUCUGCCUUGUCGUUAAAUUCGCUUCCGAGCGUUUUUUUAUUGACUUGGCAUCUUCUGGAUUUGGUUCCCUUCGGGGUUCUAUUUUCCGGGAUUUACUUUGAGAAAACUAGAGUGUUUCAAACAGGCAUUUGCCUUGAAUACUACAGCAUGGAAUAAUGAAGUAGGACUUUGGUUCUAUUUUGUUGGUUAUUGAGCCAGAGUAAUGGUUAAUAGGAGCAGUUGGGGGCAUUCGUAUUUAACUGUCAGAGGUGAAAUUCUUAGAUUUGUUAAAGACGAACUACUGCGAAAGCAUUUGCCAAGGAUGUUUUCAUUAAUCAAGAACGAAAGU
rnacentral:rRNA from 1 species